UACGUAGGGGGCUAGCGUUGUCCGGAAUCAUUGGGCGUAAAGAGCGUGUAGGCGGCCCGGUAAGUCCGCUGUGAAAGUCGGGGGCUCAACCCUCGAAUGCCGGUGGAUACUGUCGGGCUAGAGUGCGGAAGAGGCGAGUGGAAUUCCUGGUGUAGCGGUGAAAUGCGCAGAUAUCAGGAGGAACACCAAUUGCGAAGGCAGCUCGCUGGGACGUAACUGACGCUGAGACGCGAAAGCGUGGAGAGCAAACAGG
rnacentral:rRNA from 1 species